UUUCUUCCGAAAACAAGCUCAAUGAGAGCCAUCGGGGGUAGAUCUAUCUCAUGACGAGUGGUGGAAUACUUUGACUCAUGAGAGAGAAGCUGAGGCGAAGGCGUCUACCUAGAGGGUUUCUGUCGAUCAAGGGCGAGAGUAGGAGUAUCCAACAGGAUUAGAGACCCUGGUAGUUCCUACCUUAAACGAUGCCGACAGGAGUUUGUCAUUUGUUAAUGGCAGAAUCUUUGGAGAAAUCAUAGUUCUUGGGCUCUGGGGGAACUACGACCGCAAGGCUGAAACUUGAAGGAAUUGACGGAAGGGCACACCAGGGGUGGAGCCUGUGGCUUAAUUUGAAUCAACACGGGGAAACUUACCAGGACCAGAUGUUUUUUAUGACUGACAGGCUUCGGGUCUUUCAGGAUAUUGUUUUUGGUGGUGCAUGGCCGUUGGUGGUGCGUGGGUUGACCUGUCUAGCGUUGAUUCAGCUAACGAGCGAGAUUAUCGCCAAUUAUUUACUUUGCCGAAGUCCUUCGGUUAAAGUUCUAAUUGGGACUCCCUGCGAUUUUAGCAGGUGGAAGAGGGUAGCAAUAACAGGUCCGUGAUGCCCUUUAGAUGCUCUGGGCUGCACGCGUGCUACAAUGUUAGGAUCAAUAGGACUGCGAGCCUGAGAGGGUGCGCUACUCUUAUAAUCCCUAACGUAGUUGGGAUUGACGUUUGUAAUCAGCGUCAUGAACCAGGAAUCCCUUGUAAAUGUGUGUCAACAACGCACGUUGAAUACGUCCCUGCCCUUUGUACACACCGCCCGUCGCUCCUACCGAUUGGAUGACUCGGUGAAAUCACCGGAUGCUUACGAGCAGAAAGUGAUUAAAUCACGUUAUCUAGAGGAAGGAGAAGUCGUAACAAGGUAACGGUAGGUGAACCUGCCGUGGAUC
rnacentral:rRNA from 1 species